rnacentral:rRNA from 1 species
ACGGGUGAGUAACACGUGAGCAACCUACCUUACACAGGGGGAUAGCCGUUGGAAACGACGAUUAAUACCGCAUAAGACCACAAUAUCGCAUGGUAUAAGGGUCAAAGAUUUAUCGGUGUAAGAUGGGCUCGCGUCUGAUUAGCUAGUUGGAAGGGUAAAGGCCUACCAAGGCGACGAUCAGUAGCCGGUCUGAGAGGAUGAACGGCCACACUGGAACUAAGACACGGUCCAGACUCCUACGGGAGGCAGCAGUGGGGAAUAUUGCACAAUGGGGGAAACCCUGAUGCAGCGACGCCGCGUGAGCGAAGAAGGUUUUCGAAUCGUAAAGCUCUGUCCUAUGAGAAGAUAAUGACGGUAUCAUAGGAGGAAGCCCCGGCUAAAUACGUGCCAGCAGCCGCGGUAAUACGUAGGUGGCAAGCGUUGUCCGGAUUUAUUGGGCGUAAAGCGCGCGCAGGUGGUUUAAUAAGUCUGAUGUGAAAGCCCACGGCUCAACCGUGGAGGGUCAUUGGAAACUGUUAAACUUGAGUGCAGGAGAGAAAAGUGGAAUUCCUAGUGUAGCGGUGAAAUGCGUAGAGAUUAGGAGGAACACCAGUGGCGAAGGCGGCUUUUUGGCCUGUAACUGACACUGAGGCGCGAAAGCGUGGGGAGCAAACAGGAUUAGAUACCCUGGUAGUCCACGCCGUAAAC